rnacentral:rRNA from 1 species
ACUCCUACGGGAGGCAGCAGUGAGGAAUAUUGGUCAAUGGAGGGAACUCUGAACCAGCCAUCCCGCGUCGUAGGAAGACGGCCUUAUGGGUUGUGAAACUAACUUUUAUAUCAGGAAGAAACGUACCCAUCGUCGAGGGUGCCGUGACGGUACUGUAGGAAUAAGCACCGGCUAACUCCGUGCCAGCAGCCGCGGUAAUACGGAGGGUGCGAGCGUUAUCCGGAUUUAUUGGGUUUAAAGGGUCCGUAGGCGGAUUAAUAAGUCAGUGGUGAAAUCCCAUCGCUUAACGAUGGAACUGCCAUUGAUACUGUUAGUCUUGAAUGAGGGUGCAGUGGUUGGAAUGUGUAGUGUAGCGGUGAAAUGCAUAGAUAUUACACAGAACACCGAUUGCGAAGGCAGAUCACUAACCCUAAAUUGACGCUGAGGGACGAAAGCGUGGGGGAGCGAACAGGAUUAGAUACCCUGUAGGUGACAAU